ACCAUUCGUCAAAAUUAUAAUAAAAAUAAAAAUCAAGUUAUGUGUACAAAUAAUGACACAUGCUGAUUUUAGUAAUGAUUUCAAUAAAACGUACAAAAGUAAGUGCAUCAUUUUUUCUUCCUUCGUUUUCGAUAAUUUUUUCUGGAUCUGUUUUGAGUGUUUCUGUUUAUGAUGUUUCAGCAGUGAGUGUUUCUGUCACUGUAUUUUCUGUUAAUAACCAGUUGUAACCGAAAUGGACGGCGUAAGCCCAGUUCGUAAACUUAAAUUUUAUUGGUGACUUCCGCAGUUGCAUAAUUGCGAGCAAGAUUAAUCGCAACUUGGAAAAUAGGGGUGAAAAACUUUCACGACGUAACGUUAGACACCGUCAGUGGCACCAACAUGACACAUUUUCCGGUCAAAAUUAAUUGAUUUUUCCUAACCUUAUUUUAUACACAAAAUGUGUUCCUAUUUAUUACGUGUUUUAUAACAAUUUUUAUUUAUUUUACACAAUCAUGAACGUGGACGCGAGUAGUUUACGCAAUUUUAAAGAUUUUUUGCAACUUUAUAAUCAAAUGACCGAAAGAUGUUUUUAUAAAUGUAUCGAACACACGAACUCACGUUUAAUAAUAAAUUAAUGAUGAAUUUUGUUCGGCGGCAGAAUGAUAUUAUGACUCGGAGAAUGAAAGAAGCCGAACAAAUGAUGGAAAAUAAUCAGGAAGUCAGUGUCUCAAAUAGCUGAUGCAAUGUAUGGCCUGUAGUAAUAAAUUUUAGCAAAUAAA